rnacentral:rRNA from 1 species
CUCUAUCAGGAUGAACGCUGGCGGCGUGCCUAAUACAUGCAAGUCGAACGCUUUGUGGUUCAACUGAUUUGAAGAGCUUGCUCAGAUAUGACGAUGGACAUUGCAAAGAGUGGCGAACGGGUGAGUAACACGUGGGAAACCUACCUCUUAGCAGGGGAUAACAUUUGGAAACAGAUGCUAAUACCGUAUAACAAUAGCAACCGCAUGGUUGCUACUUAAAAGAUGGUUCUGCUAUCACUAAGAGAUGGUCCCGCGGUGCAUUAGUUAGUUGGUGAGGUAAUGGCUCACCAAGACGAUGAUGCAUAGCCGAGUUGAGAGACUGAUCGGCCACAAUGGGACUGAGACACGGCCCAUACUCCUACGGGAGGCAGCAGUAGGGAAUCUUCCACAAUGGGCGAAAGCCUGAUGGAGCAACGCCGCGUGUGUGAUGAAGGGUUUCGGCUCGUAAAACACUGUUGUAAGAGAAGAAUGACAUUGAGAGUAACUGUUCAAUGUGUGACGGUAUCUUACCAGAAAGGAACGGCUAAAUACGUGCCAGCAGCCGCGGUAAUACGUAUGUUCCAAGCGUUAUCCGGAUUUAUUGGGCGUAAAGCGAGCGCAGACGGUUAUUUAAGUCUGAAGUGAAAGCCCUCAGCUCAACUGAGGAAUUGCUUUGGAAACUGGAUGACUUGAGUGCAGUAGAGGAAAGUGGAACUCCAUGUGUAGCGGUGAAAUGCGUAGAUAUAUGGAAGAACACCAGUGGCGAAGGCGGCUUUCUGGACUGUAACUGACGUUGAGGCUCGAAAGUGUGGGUAGCAAACAGGAUUAGAUACCCUGGUAGUCCACACCGUAAACGAUGAGUGCUAGGUGUUUGAGGGUUUCCGCCCUUAAGUGCCGCAGCUAACGCAUAAGCACUCCG